rnacentral:lncRNA from 1 species
CCCGCCCCAGGCCCCGCCCCGGCCCCGCGCCGAUUUAAUGAGAGCUGGGCGCGCUCGGGCUGUGCGGGAGUGGGCCAGGAGACGCAGGAAAACCGAAGCUGAACCAUGCGCGGGCGCAAGGAUUGUAACUGGAUCAACGAGACGACGUUUUCCCGGGUAAGGGCUCCAAUGAUCCCCUAUCAAGGAAGGAAGUACUGCAUCUAGACAAAAUACCCUAAUACUUUAAAGUAUUAGGGUCUAAGAACUUCCAGGAAAUAUCAAUUCCUAUUUUAAAAGAGUGAACAAAGACAGUAAUUGGACCCCGGCUGCAGGAGAGGCCUCGCUGUGUAAGAUAUAUAAACAAAGAAGCUGAGCUGAGUUCAUGCAUCUUCAAAAUGAUUAAGACUAUGGGUAAAUGGUGGCUCUUCUGUUCCUUAUUUCUGCCGUAGGGUAUUUGAGAAUUUAGCAUCAAGACCACAAAUUGCCAAAGCCAGUACAUUCUGGCCUAUAUCCAUAGUAUAAUAUCUAGUAAAUACUUUCAAGGUUUUCCUGCUGGUUACAUGUUAAGCUGACAAAGGCACACUGAAGGGAUUUUGAUUCUUAAUGUUCAAUGCAGAGGUGGUUUUAAACUUCUGAGGACUUACAGUCUUAAACUGUAUAUUGUUUAUUUUCAAUCACUGAUAAUUCUUUGAACACUAGAAGAGCACUUAAAAGGUAAUUGGUUAUAAGUUAUCUGAAAACCAAGACAGAAUUUACUCUUGUAAAGUACAUGCACAAACUUUUAAAAAAUACAUGCAUACAAAUAUUUUAAUGGCAGAGUGAGUAGCAUCCUGAGUUUUUUGUUAAUGGCAUAACAGUAUUUCAGCAAUUUUUUGAAAACCCAAUAUUUUCCUCCUUAGAAGUUUAUCUUGGGAACUUUCUCUUAAAUGAAAAAUAGCAGCAGCGACAUUCAAAAAUUGUUCACGAAAUUUGCAUUGCAAACAAGUUUGUCAAGAAAGAAUGGUCGUGAAACUUCAAGAUAAACUUGAAAACAUUUUAUAAAGUAGAAUGAUUCAAUACUUUUGAUCUAAAAUUGACAUUCAAACAUCCCCCUUCCAAUUUAAAAGUGUCAUUUUUACCUCCUCUUUAAAUAAAAUCCAAUUAUAAGAUUUGAAAUGAAAAACUUGAAAUGCAUGUCAAUAUCAUUCUUUUAAUAA